CCCUACGGGGGGCAGCAGUGAGGAAUAUUGGUCAAUGGCCGAAGGGCUGAACCAGCCAAGCCGCGUGAAGGAAUAAGGCCCUACGGGUCGUAAACUUCUUUAGUCAGGGAAUAAAGGGUGCCACGCGUGGCGCUGUGAGUGUACCUGAAGAAUAAGCAUCGGCUAACUCCGUGCCAGCAGCCGCGGUAAUACGUAGGUGGCAAGCGUUGUCCGGAUUUAUUGGGCGUAAAGCGAGUGCAGGCGGUUCAAUAAGUCUGAUGUGAAAGCCUUCGGGCCAACCGGGGAA
rnacentral:rRNA from 1 species